CCACAAGUUCUUUUUCCGAGUGAGAGAGAAUGGCGUCCUCUGCUCAUCUCUCCGCUGUCCCUCAACGCUUCUCUUUCUCCCCUAAAACCUCUCCUGGUUACUCGUUCAACUCCAACUCAAUUGGGAUUCGAGUGAGAUCAAGUUUGGAAAAUGAGAGCUGCUCUUCUGAAGUUCCCAAGCAUUCCUUGGAAUCAAUCAAGGAAUCUCAAGCAUCAACAUCAAGGCGUCAGUGCAUUACUUGUUUAUGUUCAACUAUAGUGCUGAGUAGUAGUGCUGGAACCUCCAUCUCCAUCCCAAAGGCAAUUGCUUUAGAUGGAAAAGAAAGAGCUCUUUGCCGUAAUUGUGGAGGCAGCGGUGCUGUACUUUGCGAUAUGUGUGGGGGUACCGGAAAAUGGAAAGCUCUCAACAGAAAACGUGCUAAAGAUGUUUAUGAGUUUACGGAAUGCCCUAAUUGCUAUGGUCGGGGGAAACUUGUGUGUCCUGUGUGCUUAGGUACUGGUUUGCCAAAUAACAAAGGUCUUCUAAGGAGGCCUGAUGCACGGCAAUUACUUGAUAAGAUGUAUAAUGGUCGGCUAUUGCCUGGAUCUUGAGCCAAUCCGCCAAGUAGAAAAUUUUGGAAACAUUGCAAUUAUGGAAUUUUGAUCGUAAGACUAUGAAAAGAUGAAUGCAGCCAGCAGCACUAUCAGUGUAUAUAGUCUGAACGUUAUCUUUAUGUCUAGCACACAUUGGAAGCUUUUCUUCUUUAGACUAGCCCUUGAAAAAACCUAGCUUUGAUUUUGAAUAUGUAUGCUAUUUCAUUAAAAGUCGGCCCAAUCAGAGGACAGUGAACCAUCUUCUUUAUGUUCACUGUAGUGUAUAACAUUAAUUCAUUGAGCUAUAAGAGAACCUAAUGGUGCAGUCUUGUGUUGGUU
rnacentral:misc_RNA from 1 species